CGUACACUCCUGCGGGAGGCAGCAGUGGGGAAUUUUGGACAAUGGGCGAAAGCCUGAUCCAGCCAUGCCGCGUGCAGGAUGAAGGCCUUCGGGUUGUAAACUGCUUUUGUACGGAACGAAACGGCCUUUUCUAAUAAAGAGGGCUAAUGACGGUACCGUAAGAAUAAGCACCGGCUAACUACGUGCCAGCAGCCGCGGUAAUACGUAGGGUGCAAGCGUUAAUCGGAAUUACUGGGCGUAAAGCGUGCGCAGGCGGUUAUGUAAGACAGUUGUGAAAUCCCCGGGCUCAACCUGGGAACUGCAUCUGUGACUGCAUAGCGAGAGUACGGUAGAGGGGGAUGGAAUUCCGCGUGUAGCAGUGAAAUGCGUAGAUAUGCGGAGGAACACCGAUGGCGAAGGCAAUCCCCUGGACCUGUACUGACGCUCAUGCACGAAAGCGUGGGGAGCAAACAGGAUUAGAUACCCCUGUAGUCCAUG
rnacentral:rRNA from 1 species